CGUAGGUGGCAAGCGUUGUCCGGAAUUAUUGGGCGUAAAGGGCGCGUAGGCGGUACCUUAAGUCAGAUGUGAAAACCCGAGGCUUAACUUCGGAGGUGCAUUUGAAACUGGGGAACUAGAGUGCAGGAGAGGUAAGUGGAAUUCCUAGUGUAGCGGUGAAAUGCGUAGAUAUUAGGAGGAACACCAGUGGCGAAGGCGACUUACUGGACUGUAACUGACGCUGAGGCGCGAAAGCGUGGGGAGCAAACAGGAUUAGAUACCCUGGUAGUCCACGCUGUAAACGAUGGAUACUAGGUGUGGGAGGUAUCGACCCCUUCCGUGUCCGCAGUAAACGCAAUAAGUAUCCCGCCUGGGGAGUACGGCCGCAAGGUUG
rnacentral:rRNA from 1 species